AUACUCAUUUUCAGGUCUAAGUCUAGAAAUAUUGCCUGUACAUUUUUAUGACAUUGUUUUCGUUUGUUUCUAAACUCCGUUACCCACUAGUCAGCAGCAGGCGAUGUGAGUCUUUCAGGUGGCGCUUCUUGGGUGACGUAUAAUCUAGUGGACGGGACACAUCUUCAACAACAACAACAACAAAGCUACCGAUUCAAAACCCCUUCGGCAGCUUGCUAGCCAACAUAUAACCGAAACAUUGAAGUUCUUUUUAAACACAAUCCUGUUAACGUAUAUACCAGUUAACUUAAAAGUAAUUUGCUUGUUCAAUUUGUUGACAUUUUUACUCAGCCCAGCACUAAGCUAGUCGCUAAUGCAAACUAGCUAACAACCCCAACCAUGACCUCACUAAACUACUCCUCCCCUGCUAAAGAAGAUGAUGUCUGCUGGGCGGAGAGAGAAGCUCUGGGGCUGAACAUUGUCGUGAAAGAGGAGGAUAUUACAGUAAAAGGAGAGGAAGAAGCUUCCAGAACGAUAAAGGAGGAAGAUCAUGUUACAUUUGGAGUGGAAGAGGGGAUAGAGGCUGUCACAGUGGAAGAGGAAGAGGGGAAAGAGGCUGUCACAGUGGAAGAGGGGAUAGAGGCUGUCACAGUGGAAGAGGAAGAGGGGAUAGAGGCUGUCACAGUGGAAGAGGAGUGGGUAGAAGAUUUCAGAAUAAAAAAGGAAGAGGAGGAGGAUGUUAUAGUGAAAGAAGAGGAAGAACCUUCUAGCGUGGAAGAGGAGGCUAUCUCAAUAAAAGAGGAGGAAGACGUUUUGGGAGUGAAAGAGGAGGAGGAGACUGAUUCUGAUCUGAUUAACACCAGUAAAAGCAGAGAGGAAGUGUGUCUCAGAAACACGAGGUAAGCAGAGAGGAAGUGCGUCUCAGAAACACGAGGACAGAGACCACACUCUCACUCUGACAGCAGAAAGAGUACUUCAGGGGAACAAGACCUAGAGACGCCCAAACCAGUGAGACCACACCAGUGUCCCCACUGUGUAAAGAGUUUUAAGUGGUUAUGUUACCUAAAAGAACAUGAAAGAAUACACACAGGAGAAAAGCCUUUCCAUUGUUCCCAAUGUGAUAAAAGUUUUACCCAAUUAGGGAGCCUGAAAAUACACGAGAGAUCACACACAAG